UUUGUUAUAAAGAUUAAAAAAAAAAAAUAUGGAUUUAAGAAUAACACUAGAUUUAGAUUGAUGCGUAUCAUAAAUUUAGAUUGUACCUAGCUUAAAAAUAUUUUCCAUUUCCGUGUCGAACGUAUCGUUAUGAAAACCUUGAUUAUUUCUAGUUUUUUUUUUUUUUUAAAAUAUCGUUUUAUUCGAUGCACGAAUCCAGCAUAAAAUUGGAAGUAUUCCCAGGUGGCGCUAGGGACAAUUUGCGUUAGACAAGCUUGGUUGACGCGAUUGGCUUAAAAGAGGAAGAGAGAAUAGCUUUAUAAAUCGUUUUCGAUUCUAUAUACAUCUCAGCGUUUUCCAAUCUCUUUCGCGAUUUAAAUAUUCUUUUUGGAAUAUUUAAAUAACUUGUGAUUCCAUACUCGUAGAUAAGUAAAAUUAAAAAAUUAAUAUCAUAGCGAUAUAAAGUUUGCAGAGUAUAACUUAACCUAACCUAGCUGCUCGAUGACUGUUGGUUGUCGAAAAAUCUGAAAAAAUUUUGGAAUACUUGCAAAGUCUUCAUUUUAUUAUAUACGAAAAAUUUUGAAAGAUUUAUCACCACAAAGGAAAAUUAUUUGGAAGAAAUUUAGAAAUUUUUAGACAUAAACAAUUUAAGAUUGGGAAUCACUGUGGCACACUUUGUACGCGAGCCACGUCAAAUCGUCUAUUUUAGAAUUUGUUGUGUGCCUAGAACACCGUGAGAAAUUCAAACAUCCAUGCAUGGCACAAUGCUUUGGGAACACCGUUUGAUUUUCGACAAUCUUGCUUUCGGUCGUGUCGACCGUUUUUUUUUUUUUUUACGAAUCAAAAAACGAGGGAAUUGGCACGAGGGAAAGAGGAGAGGAAGAGGAAGUUGCGACACGGAGUACAUUCGCACGAUUUAAAAUUGCCACGUGAACAACUGUUUCCGUUUCGAGCAGUUUCUUUGUCGAACAUUUUUACUUCUGGGCCUUUUUUUCUUUCUCAUAUUUGGAAUUUUGUUGAUUCGAUUUCGAAAUUGAUGGAAUUUAUUGUUCUAGCACGACGAGGCACGAUAUUGAAUUAAUGGAAUUAAUUCAUUUGUGAUUUAUUUCUUUUGAUCAGUGUAUCGUUUGAAUUUUCCUGAAAUAAAAAUCCUGUUUUUCGAAGAUUUUUAAAAAUUUUUUAUGAAUUUUUUAUGAUUGAAAAAUUUUGCAAGUGGAAAAUUGGAUAAUGGUAUAUUGCAAUCAAAUAUUUUUAUAUAAAAUAUUAAAUUGAUAAGUGAUAAAGAAAUGAUAAAAUAUUGGCAUAUUAAUAAUUGAGAGUUAUUAUUAAGUCGUUAAGUUAAAAUUUAUAUGAAAUAGUAAAAUUUCACAGGUGUACAUAUUUGUACUUCCCAUCAUUUAUUAUAUUUGAAACUUCAUACAUAGAAAUGACAAGAGUUCAUAGAAUAGCUCGUUAAAAUGAAAUUUAAAUGUAUGCGCAUGCAUGAAUUUCCAAAAUCGAUCUUUUCAAGAUAGAUGGAAUUUCAUAUUCUUAAAUUUACUUUUCCAAAAAUUAUUAUCAUUUUUUUAUUACAUUCAUAUUUCCAUAUUUACACGAAUAAUAAAUAAUAGAUCGUAAUUAUUACAUUAUAGACAAUAUAAUCUCAGAAAACAUAAACAUACAAUUUGAUAAUUUAUAGUUUCUAAUAUUUUCUCUUUGUAUUAUUAUACACUAAAAACACGUUUAGAAAUUUUCAAAACAAAUCUCACUUUUAUCGACUCUGUGAAAACUUCAACAACUCUCCACACGAUGUAUACACUCUACUUUAUUCAUAUCCGUUAACCUCCAUGUGUCAUAUAAACUAGCAUUUUUUUCAUCCCUACGUACAUAUAUUUCAAAAUAAUUCAACGCAAAAAAAUGUAACGAUAAAAAUGUAAAAAAAUAGAAAUUUAUCGGAGAACGAUUAUAGAUGGCGUAAAAAAAAUAUAAUAGAGCACCGCCAUCUUCGUUGAGAGGUUAAGGAAGAGGUUAGACACGUUGGCUCGUAACAAGGUUUCAAACUGUUUAGAUUCCUCGAGUGGAUCGUUGUUCCAGCGUGACCUCGAGGUGCAAAUCAAGACGAAAUUUGGUUUGUGUAGCGAAUCGUGUUUAGCCUUUGCUCUUCGGUUCGGUUGGUAACGUCGUUAGUUUGUUCCGCUAAAGUGUCACGUAAAAGGCGAUGAGAACGAGGCGGGUUCGAUUUGAACCAUUUCGUUUGCCGAAGUAAAGGCCACGAGUUUCGGUGAUUCGAGGCUGUUCUAGUCCUUUGUACCAUUCCACUCACUUAUUUACGGUUCACUGAUUUUUCUUCCUCACGAGUGCUUCACCGUCGAUUGGAUAUAAGAAAUGUACAACAUUGAUUAUAAUUAUUCGAAUUAUAUAGCAAAAAAUGAAAUUUUAAUAUUUAUUUAUAGUAUUCGAUUAUAAAAUAUGAUAAAAAUUGGAAAAUUAAUAUAUUUCGUAAUAAAGAAGUUAAAAAUUGAUACUUUGUUAUUUUAAUUGUUGUUAUUAUUUAACGAUAUUAUGUAUGUAAUUAUUUGGAUAAAAAAUUGAUUUUUAUGAAUGAUUGUAUUUUAUCGAUUUUGAAUAUAUUACGAGAUUAUUAAAUGAAUAAUACUAUGAUAAUAGAAUAUCUUCAAUUAUUGGAAUCGGUGAAUUAUUUUAAAUGCUAGCGAUUGAAAUUGUAACUAUAUUACGUUUUAUUAAAUAAAUAAUAUAAAACGAAGGAACAAUCAGUUUAUUCAACAAAUACUAUGGUCUUUUUUAAAAAAGAUGUUUCUGCUUUUUAUUUAAAAUGAGAUAUAAAUAAAUAAUACAUAAUUCCUGGAACAAAUAUGAAAUCAGAAUAUAUCAUAUGAAUAAAUACGAAAAUCAGAAACACGAUAAUUCUAAAAUAUAUUUAAGGAAUAAAUUACAUCGAAAUAAUUCAUUUGCGGCAUUUUAUUUCAAAUAAAUAAUAACACACAAUAAUAAAUAACAAUAUUCAUCGUUGUAAAUGAUUAACUUUUGAAAUAAUCCGAUAUGCAAAUAUUUCAUUGAAUAAUAUAUAUAAUUAAUAUUUUAAUCCCAAUGAAUGGUGACGUGAGGAAGUGAAAUAAUAUAUUACUUUUCUAAAUUGUUACAAAUUUUAUGUAAAUAUCGUAUAUCGCUUAAUAAUAAAAUAGUGCAUUCC